GUACUCACUUUGGCCUCAUAUAUACUUAAAAAAAAAAUGAAACUAUACAAGGGAAAUCUGCAUGGCCCCUGCACAAGUAUGUCAUGCAAAUUUGAGAAAAUAGUUU